CCUGGAUCUUGUGUGCUCGUUCUGGGAAGUCAUAGCACAUAGCUGCCUGGAAUGCUUCCUCAGGUUUGUACACGCCGAACAGAAAUGUCUGCUUCCUGCUAAAUCCAUUAGAAACUGAUACAAGGGCGAGAAGAAUGGAUGUAACGAAACAGAAAAAAGGAAGAAGUGGCAACAGAAACAGAAGUUGCAUGAGGUCAGCCCCUUGAGACCAGAAGUGGCAAGGAGAGGGAUUGUCCCCUGAAGACUCUAGGAAGCAGCCCUGCCCCCCACCUUGAUGGUGAUCAGCAAAGGAAUAGUUCCAUUACUUCCUUACUGCACUUAAUAUCCCAAAUGGACGAUCGGAUGCAUGGUUUCCUGCAGCAA
rnacentral:lncRNA from 1 species